UGAAAGGCGAAACGUAAUGUGAAUCGCAACUAACAGUGAAUCAUCGAAUCUUUGAACGCAGGCCGCGCUUUGCAUAUCACUCGUGUUAUCGCAAGGCAUUUACGUAUGAGUGUCAGCCUAAUAUACUUUUGGUUUAAUGGUAAUUUAUGUACUAUUGAAUUCAUUGUGCGAAUAUCAUUUUGAUAUACGCGUUUAACAAAUUUGUAUGUCUGGCCUCAUAUGUGAAAGGUUACCCGCUGGAUUUAA
rnacentral:misc_RNA from 1 species